UACGUAGGGAGCAAGCGUUGUCCGGAAUCAUUGGGCGUAAAGGGCGCGUAGGCGGCUUUGCAAGUGACGGGUGAAAGCCCUCGGCUUAACCGAGGAACUGCCUGUCAGACUGUAAGGCUUGAGACCGGGAGAGGUGAGUGGAAUUCCCAGUGUAGCGGUGAAAUGCGUAGAUAUUGGGAGGAACACCAGUGGCGAAGGCGGCUCACUGGACCAGAACUGACGCUGAGGCGCGAAAGCGUGGGGAGCAAACAGG
rnacentral:rRNA from 1 species